rnacentral:rRNA from 1 species
GUUUGAUCAUGGCUCAGAUUGAACGCUGGCGGCAGGCUUAACACAUGCAAGUCGAGCGGGGGAAGGUAGCUUGCUACUGGACCUAGCGGCGGACGGGUGAGUAAUGCUUAGGAAUCUGCCUAUUAGUGGGGGACAACAUCUCGAAAGGGAUGCUAAUACCGCAUACGUCCUACGGGAGAAAGCAGGGGAUCUUCGGACCUUGCGCUAAUAGAUGAGCCUAAGUCGGAUUAGCUAGUUGGUGGGGUAAAGGCCUACCAAGGCGACGAUCUGUAGCGGGUCUGAGAGGAUGAUCCGCCACACUGGGACUGAGACACGGCCCAGACUCCUACGGGAGGCAGCAGUGGGGAAUAUUGGACAAUGGGGGGAACCCUGAUCCAGCCAUGCCGCGUGUGUGAAGAAGGCCUUAUGGUUGUAAAGCACUUUAAGCGAGGAGGAGGCUACUUUAGUUAAUACCUAGAGAUAGUGGACGUUACUCGCAGAAUAAGCACCGGCUAACUCUGUGCCAGCAGCCGCGGUAAUACAGAGGGUGCGAGCGUUAAUCGGAUUUACUGGGCGUAAAGCGUGCGUAGGCGGCUUAUUAAGUCGGAUGUGAAAUCCCCGAGCUUAACUUGGGAAUUGCAUUCGAUACUGGUGAGCUAGAGUAUGGGAGAGGAUGGUAGAAUUCCAGGUGUAGCGGUGAAAUGCGUAGAGAUCUGGAGGAAUACCGAUGGCGAAGGCAGCCAUCUGGCCUAAUACUGACGCUGAGGUACGAAAGCAUGGGGAGCAAACAGGAUUAGAUACCCUGGUAGUCCAUGCCGUAAACGAUGUCUACUAGCCGUUGGGGCCUUUGAGGCUUUAGUGGCGCAGCUAACGCGAUAAGUAGACCGCCUGGGGAGUACGGUCGCAAGACUAAAACUCAAAUGAAUUGACGGGGGCCCGCACAAGCGGUGGAGCAUGUGGUUUAAUUCGAUGCAACGCG